CAGCGAUGAGGAGAACCAGUUUCACUGACUAACCCUGAUGUGUGAAAUACGCUAUUCUGAGCUAUUA